rnacentral:tRNA from 1 species
UAGAAUAUAGUGUAAGUUUGGUAGCACGAAGAUCUUUGAAUUCUUAAGAUUAGGUUC